rnacentral:rRNA from 1 species
UACGUAGGGUGCGAGCGUUAAUCGGAAUUACUGGGCGUAAAGCGUGCGCAGGCGGUUCGUUAAGUUCGUUGUGAAAGCCCCGGGCUCAACCUGGGAACUGCAAUGGAAACUGGCGGGCUUAAGUGCGGCAGAGGGGGGUGGAAUUCCGCGUGUAGCAGUGAAAUGCGUAGAGAUGCGGAGGAACACCGAUGGCGAAGGCAGCCCCCUGGGCCGACACUGACGCUCAGGCACGAAAGCGUGGGGAGCAAACAGG